CUUAGCCACUUACACCUUUGCAACACUGAGCCCACCAAGUCACUCCAUAGAGCCAUUAAAACAGUUGGCAACAUGGUCAUUUGGUUGACCCUUCUUCCGUUCUUUGCUAUGCUCUCAGGCUGCCAUUCUGAAGUUCAACUGGUGGAGACAGGAGGAGGUGUUGUGUCACCAGGAGAAUCCCUUCGCCUCUCCUGUAAAGCUUCUGGAUUCACUUUUAGUAGCUACUACAUGAGCUGGAUCCGACAGGCUGCCGGGAAAGGGCUAGAAUGGGUGGCCACAAUAACUCACACUGCAAGUAGCCAGUGGUAUAACUCCAAGGUUCAGGGAAGAUUCACCAUCUCCAGAGACAACGCGCAGAGUCUGUUAUCUCUGCAGAUGACAAGCUUGAAGACUGAAGACUCUGCCGUGUAUUACUGUGCGAGAGACACAGUGGCAACUUCUGCUUCUAGGCUU